rnacentral:rRNA from 1 species
AUUGAACGCUGGCGGCAGGCCUAACACAUGCAAGUCGAGCGAGCGGCGGACGGGUGAGUACUGUCUGGGAAACUGCUUGAUGGAGGGGGCUAACUACUGGAAACGGUAGCUAAUCCCGCAUACCAUCAGAUGUGCCCAGAUGGGAUUAGCUAGUGGGGGGGGUAACGGCUCACCUAGGCGACGAUCCCUAGCUGGUCUGAGAGGAUGACCAGCCAAAAGGGAACGGAGACAAGGUCCAGACUCCUACGGGAGGCAGCAGUGGGGAAGAUGGCACAAUGGGCGCAAGCAUGAUGCAGCCAUGCCGCGUGUGGGAAGAAGGCCUUCGGAUUGUAAAGCACUGUCAGCUGGGAGGCGUUACCCGCAGAAGAAGCACCGGCUAACUCCGUGCCAGCAGCCGCGGUAAUUC